rnacentral:rRNA from 1 species
UGAAUACGAGAUGCUAAGGCGUCGAAGUAGUGUAUGUCAUACUUCCAAGAAAAGCUUGCACUGUCAUAAAUAAAGAAUGCCUGUACCAUAACCGACACAGGUGGGUAGGUAGAGUAUACUAAGGGGCGCGAGAUAACUCUCUCCAAGGAACUCGGCAAAAUAACUCCGUAACUUCGGGAGAAGGAGUGCCUUAUUCGUAAGGCUGCAAUAACAAGAUCCAAGCAACUGUUUAUCAAAAACACAGGUCUCCGCUAAGUCGUAAGACGAUGUAUGGGGGCUGACGCCUGCCCAGUGCCAGAAGGUUAAAGAAGUUGGUUAGCAUUAGCGAAGCUGAUAACUGAAGCCCUGGUGAACGGCGGCCGUAACUAUAACGGUCCUAAGGUAGCGAAAUUCCUUGUCGGGUAAGUUCCGACCCGCACGAAAGGCGUAAUGAUUUGGAUACUGUCUCGGAGAGGGGCUCGGUGAAAUAGACUUGUCUGUGAAGAUGCGGACUACCUGCACCAGGACAGAAAGACCCUAUGAAGCUUUACUGUAACUUGAAAUUGAAAUUGGACUUUAGUCGCGCAGUAUAGGUGGGAGGCUUUGAUGAUACUCUUGCGGGAGUAUUGGAGCUAUCAGUGAGAUACCACUCUUCUAAUGUUAGAUUUCUAACUUUGAACCAUUAUCUGGUCAGAGAACAGUUUCAGGCGGGCAGUUUGACUGGGGCGGUCGCCUCCUAAAUGGUAACGGAGGCGUACAAAGGUUUCCUCUGAACGGGUAGAAAUCGUAUCUAGAGUGUAAAGGCAUAAGGAAGCUUGACUGUGAGACCUACAAGUCGAACAGGGACGAAAGUCGGUCUUAGUGAUCUGACGGUACUGAGUGGAAAGGCCGUCACUCAACGGAUAAAAGUUACUCUAAGGAUAACAGGCUGAUCUCCCCCAAGAGUUCACAUCGACGGGGAGGUUUGGCACCUCGAUGUCGGCUCAUCGCAUCCUGGGGCGGUAGUACGUCCCAAGGGUUGGGCUGUUCGCCCAUGAAAGCGGUACGCGAGCUGGGUUCAGAACGUCGUGAGACAGUUCGGUCCAUAUCCGGUGUAGGCGUUAGAAUAUUGAGAGGAGCCUUCUUUAGUACGAGAGGACCGAGAAGGACAUACCUAUGGUGUACCAGUUAUCGUGCCAACGGUAAACGCUGGGUAGCUAAGUAUGGAGUGGAUAACCGCUGAAAGCAUCUAAGUGGGAAGCCCACCUCAAGAUGAG